rnacentral:rRNA from 1 species
UACGUAGGGCGCAAGCGUUGUCCGGAAUUAUUGGGCGUAAAGAGCUCGUAGGCGGUCUGUCACGUCUGCCGUGAAAACCCGAGGCUUAACCUCGUGGCUUGCGGUGGAUACGGGCAGACUAGAGGUAGGUAGGGGAGAACGGAAUUCCCGGUGUAGCGGUGGAAUGCGCAGAUAUCAGGAGGAACACCGGUGGCGAAGGCGGCUUUUUGGUCUGUAACUGACGCUGAGGCGCGAAAGCGUGGGGAGCAAACAGG